AACCAACAGGGAUUGCCCUAGUAACGGCGAGUGAAGCGGCAAUAGCUCAAAUUUGAAAUCUGGCUCUUUUAGGGUCCGAGUUGUAAUUUGCAGAGGGCGCUUUGGCGUUGGCAGCGGUCCAAGUUCCUUGGAACAGGACGUCACAGAGGGUGAGAAUCCCGUACGUGGUCGCUAGCCUCCGCCGUGUAAAGCCCCUUCGACGAGUCGAGUUGUUUGGGAAUGCAGCUCUAAAUGGGAGGUAAAUUUCUUCUAAAGCUAAAUACUGGCCAGAGACCGAUAGCGCACAAGUAGAGUGAUCGAAAGAUGAAAAGCACUUUGGAAAGAGAGUCAAAUAGCACGUGAAAUUGUUGAAAGGGAAGCGCUUGCAGCCAGACUUGCCUGUAGUUGUUUAUCCGGGCUUUUGCCCGGUGCACUCUUCUGUGGGCAGGCCAGCAUCAGUUUGGGCGGUUGGAUAAAGGUCUCGAAGCAUGUACCUCCUUUCGGGGAGGCCUUAUAGGGGAGGCGACAUACAACCAGCCCAGACUGAGGUCCGCGCAUUUUGCUAGGAUGCUGGCGUAAUGGCUGUAAGCGGCCCGUCUUGAAACACGGACCAAGGAGUCUAACAUCUAUGCGAGUGUUUGGGUGUCAAGCCCGAGCGCGCAAUGAAAGUGAACGGAGGUGGGAACCCUUAAGGGUGCACCAUCGACCGAUCCUGAUGUCUUCGGAUGGAUUUGAGUAAGAGCAUGGCUGUUGGGACCCGAAAGAUGGUGAACUAUGCUUGAAUAGGGUGAAGCCAGAGGAAACUCUGGUGGAGGCUCGCAGCGGUUCUGACGUGCAAAUCGAUCGUCAAAUUUGGGCAUAGGGCGAAAGACUAAUCGAACUAUCUAGUAGCUGGUUCCUGCCG
rnacentral:rRNA from 1 species